CACCCAGGCGUCCCUGGAGCUCACUUUUAAACAAAAUGUUUAAAAUAUGCUCCCUUCGUCCAGAGGUGGAACCGAAUUCCCCACCUCUUGAGCAUGGGCUGGAUUUUAGAUUCCAGGACCCAAGUGCUCGGUGUGCUCACUGCUGCUGGGGUGUCACUUCCUGCAGGCCCCCAGCGCAGGCUGAGAACAGAUGAAGUAUUCACGCCUGCAUGCACACACGUACAUGUGCUGUGUGCACGUGUCUGCACAUCCACACCCACGCACAUCUCUGCGUUUCCCAAUUCCUGUGAAAAACCCGUGAGUGCAGACUGAUCCCGGCCAGCAGUGCGGCCUCACCUCCGCCCCCCUUCCCGUGUGCGGGAGCCUUCUCUCCAGCGGGACGAACGCCGUCUGAGCCCACAGGGCGAGUCGGUCCCCAGCCGCUAGCCCCAGGCUCAUGCAAACGACGCUGCAGACGAGAGCUCAGUAUUUGCGUGGCGCGGGUUUUGUCUUUCUCGGCAGCGUCUUCCGUCCAGGUGCUCUGUUCAGAAGUGAACUCAGGUCCCUUGUCCCUUCAGUAUUGUGUUUGAAAAUUGAAAUACGGUUUGGUGGAUUCUUUUGUUUCAUUGUAUGUUCCAUGUAGUGGGUCUUUAUGGCCACCCUUGUUCAUUUUGUUUGUUUUUGAGUUUAUGCCCGUCAAAGUGGUUGUUGACUGUUGAAGUCAGAACUGUGAAAAUCAGAAUCGCAACUGUGUCUGCACACAGACAGGUGGCGCCCCCAGCGGGCAUUACGUGUCACACAAGGACAGCCCGGUGUUGCGCGCGUGCUCGGCAGGCUGGCCAGAGCGGGAGGAGCAGCGGGGAAGGAAAGUGUUUAAUAAGUCAGGCCACUCUCUCUGCUGACUUGUCACUUAACGAAUCUUCUUCCUUCUCCAGGAAGGAUUUGAUGCCUUGGAUCCCUUUAUUCCCAUCCUGGUCUCCAACUACAGCCCAGAGGAGUUUGAAAGCUGUGUUCAGUAUUAUCUGGAGAACAGCUGGCUUCAACAUGAGAAAGCUCAGACAGAAGAAGGGAAGAAGGAGCUGCUGUUCCUGAGUAACGCAAACCCCGGGCAGCUGGAGCGGCUCUGCGCCUACCUUUAAGCCGCGGUGACGGCCCGCCUGGAAGACAGGGGACAUUUCCUGUCCUGGACCCAGUCAGACGGGAUGUGGCCAGGACGAGUCAGCUCCCAGCCUUCGGUGAAGACUGACAGUAGUGGCCUGAGAUGUCCUCUUGUUCCCGAAACUAGUUUAUUAGGUGGGGUUUUCAUGUUUUAAGUAAUUAUGGAUCUUUCCCUUAAAUAAAUUAUCUUUCUUAAAGUGUUAUGUUAGAUUUAUAAAA